rnacentral:rRNA from 1 species
GUGGGGAAUAUUGGACAAUGGGCGAAAGCCUGAUCCAGCAAUGCCGCGUGAGUGAUGAAGGCCUUAGGGUUGUAAAGCUCUUUUACCAGGGAUGAUAAUGACAGUACCUGGAGAAUAAGCUCCGGCUAACUCCGUGCCAGCAGCCGCGGUAAUACGGAGGGAGCUAGCGUUGUUCGGAAUUACUGGGCGUAAAGCGCACGUAGGCGGUUACUCAAGUCAGAGGUGAAAGCCCGGGGCUCAACCCCGGAACUGCCUUUGAAACUAGGUAACUAGAAUCUUGGAGAGGUCAGUGGAAUUCCGAGUGUAGAGGUGAAAUUCGUAGAUAUUCGGAGGAACACCAGUGGCGAAGGCGGCUCACUGGACCAUUACUGACGCUGAGGUGCGAAAGCGUGGGGAGCAAACAGGAUUAGAUACCCGAGUAGUCC